GUACACUCCUACGGGAGGCAGCAGUGGGGAAUUUUGGACAAUGGGCGAAAGCCUGAUCCAGCCAUGCCGCGUGCAGGAUGAAGGCCUUCGGGUUGUAAACUGCUUUUGUACGGAACGAAACGGCCUUUUCUAAUAAAGAGGGCUAAUGACGGUACCGUAAGAAUAAGCACCGGCUAACUACGUGCCAGCAGCCGCGGUAAUACGUAGGGUGCAAGCGUUAAUCGGAAUUACUGGGCGUAAAGCGUGCGCAGGCGGUUAUGUAAGACAGUUGUGAAAUCCCCGGGCUCAACCUGGGAACUGCAUCUGUGACUGCAUAGCUAGAGUACGGUAGAGGGGGAUGGAAUUCCGCGUGUAGCAGUGAAAUGCGUAGAUAUGCGGAGGAACACCGAUGGCGAAGGCAAUCCCCUGGACCUGUACUGACGCUCAUGCACGAAAGCGUGGGGAGCAAACAGGAUUAGAAACCCGAGUAGUCCCAUGA
rnacentral:rRNA from 1 species